GAACUUAGUUCUGGUAAUGUGUUGACUCAACUAGUUGUCAAACUUCCAAGAAAAGCUCGAACUACUGAAUAACAAAAAUUACCUGUACCCAAAACCGACACAGGUAGGCAGGUAGAGUAUACCAAGGGGCGCGAGAUAACUCUCUCUAAGGAACUCGGCAAAAUGGCCCCGUAACUUCGGGAGAAGGGGUACCCCCUGAUUGGGGGUCGCAGUGACCAGGCCCAGGCGACUGUUACCAAAAACACAGGUCUCCGCUAAGUCGUAAGACAAUAUAUGGGGGCUGACGCCUGCCCAGUGCCGGAAGGUGAAGGAAGUUGGUGGAAGCUGACGACCGAAGCCCCGGUGAACGGCGGCCGUAACAAUAACGGUCCUAAGGUAGCGAAAUUCCUUGUCGGGUAAGUUCCGACCCGCACGAAAGGCGUAACGAUCUGGGCACUGUCUCGGAGAGAGACUCGGUGAAAUAGACAUGUCUGUGAAGAUGCGGACUUCCUACACCUGGACAGAAAGACCCUAUGAAGCUUGACUGUAGCCUGGAAUUGGGUUUGGGCUCUUCUUGCGCAGCCUAGGUGGGAGGCGUUGAAAGUCCCCUUCCGGGGGGGCUAGAGCCAUCAGUGAGAGACCACUCUGGAGGAGCUAGAAUUCUAAUGGCGAUCCUUGAAUCAGGACGCUUGACAGUUUCAGGCGGGCAGUUUGACUGGGGCGGUCGCCUCAUAAAAAGUAACUGAGGCGUGCAAAGGUUCCCUCAGGCUGGACGGAAAUCAGCCGGAGAGUGUAAAGGCAGAAGGGGGCUUGACUGUAAGACUUACAAGUCGAGCAGGGGCGAAAGCCGGCCUUAGUGAUCCGACGGUACCGUUUGGAAGGGCCGUCGCUCAACGGAUAAAAGUUACUCUAAGGAUAACAGGCUGAUCUUCCCCAAGAGUUCACAUCGACGGGAAGGUUUGGCACCUCGAUGUCGGCUCAUCGCAACCUGGGGCGGUAGUACGUCCCAAGGGUUGGGCUGUUCGCCCAUGAAAGCGGUACGUGAGCUGGGUUCAGAACGUCGUGAGACAGUUCGGUCCAUAUCCGGUGUAGGCGUUAGAGCAUUGAGAGGAGCCUUCCAUAGUACGAGAGGACCUGGAAGGACGCACCAAUAGUAUACCAGUUCUCCCGCCAGGGGGAAACGCUGGGUAGCCAAGUGCGGAUGUCUCUGGAAAGAGAUCUUUUAAGGUCUCCAUUCUCAGAGAUGUGGAUAACCGCUGAAAGCAUCUAAGUGGGAAGCCCACCUCAAGAUGAGUGCUCUCUCGAGGUCACGGCAAGAGAAGCCGUUCGAUAGGUGUUAAGUGUACAGUCAGCAAUGGCUUGAGCUGAGACAUACUAAUAGACCGAAAGAUUUUGAC
rnacentral:rRNA from 1 species